AAAAGCUCCCAGAUUCAUUUUUCAGUGAUGAGGCACAGAAUUUUGUAGGCAACUUCUUGAAGGUGGUAAGUGUGCCUCUUACUCCUAUGCAAUUACUCAUGGCAACUAGUCCUUCAACUCUUUAUUUUAGUCAUCAACACAGGGUCUGUCAUGUUCAGAACAGGAUUGGCUGGGUGAAGGGGUGUGGCACCAGUAACCCUCAGGAAUACAGGCCGCAGAGCUAAUGAAGAGCCCCAAGGAAAGAAAGACCUACCCAUCGCUCCGAAUCCUCUCCCCCACCAUGCCACAGACCUGAGGGCACGUGACCCAGGAAUGUGCAUCUGAAGAUAAUACUACCUUCAGAGAACUCUACUUAUAGGUAAUUAAAAAAAAAAAGAUUCAUGACUCUUUAAGCUCUUUUCUUGUAAGAAGACAGCCUACUCUUUCAUGUGCUGGAGUCGGGAGACACUUCUCAAGGCAGCUAUAAUAAAGCUCUGAGUUCUUCCUUGGGCCUUGAACUAGGCCUUUACGCUGUUGUUAAUCAAUAAACAUUUAUUGAAUGAAUGACUGAAUGGAUAAA
rnacentral:lncRNA from 1 species